rnacentral:rRNA from 1 species
GCCAUACUACCCUGAAUGUGCCUGUUCUUCCCUUCUCUCUGAAGGUAAGUCGGUUGGGCCUAGUUAGUACUUGGAUGGGACAUUACUGGGGAAUACCGGGUGC